GCGGGGGUAGCCAAGUCUGGUCAAACAACCUUUCUUUCUUCAAAAGAAAGAAACGUUGACGAAAGAAAGAACCUUUGGAGGAAGAGGGUCAAGACAAAGCUUCGCUUUUUGUCAACUUUUUUCCUCAAAAAGUUGGAGAGAAACGCAGUUUCUCCUUGGUGGGCUAGAGGCGCAAGGUUGAGGGCCUUGUCUCGUAGGAGUUCGCGAGUUCAAAUCUCGUCCCCCGCA
rnacentral:tRNA from 1 species